rnacentral:rRNA from 1 species
CCUACGGGUGGCAGCAGUGGGGAAUAUUGCGCAAUGGGCGAAAGCCUGACGCAGCGACGCCGCGUGAGGGAUGAAGGUCUUCGGAUCGUAAACCUCUGUCAGCAGGGAAGAACGGUCACUGUGCUAAUCAGCAGUGAAUUGACGGUACCUGCAAAGGAAGCACCGGCUAACUCCGUGCCAGCAGCCGCGGUAUUACGGAGGGUGCGAGCGUUAAUCGGAUUUACUGGGCGUAAAGCGCUCGUAGGCGGUAUGUCAAGUCAAGGGUGAAAUCCCCGCGCUCAACGUGUGAACUGCCUUUGAAACUGGCAAACUGGAGUGUGGGAGAGGAUAGUGGAAUGCCAGGUGUAGGAGUGAAAUGCGUAGAUAUCUGGAGGAACAUCAGUGGCGAAGGCGACUAUCUGGCACAUAACUGACGCUGAGGAGCGAAAGCGUGGGUAGCAAACAGGAUUAGAUACCCCGGUAGUC